rnacentral:rRNA from 1 species
GUGGGGAAUAUUGGACAAUGGGGGCAACCCUGAUCCAGCCAUGCCGCGUGAGUGAAGAAGGCCUUCGGGUUGUAAAACUCUUUCAGUGGGGAAGAUGAUGACGGUACCCACAGAAGAAGCCCCGGCUAACUCCGUGCCAGCAGCCGCGGUAAUACGGAGGGGGCUAGCGUUGUUCGGAAUUACUGGGCGUAAAGGGCACGUAGGCGGAUUGGCCAGUCAGGCGUGAAAGCCCCGGGCUUAACCUGGGAACUGCGCUUGAUACUACCAAUCUUGAGUCCGGGAGAGGGUAGUGGAAUUCCCAGUGUAGAGGUGAAAUUCGUAGAUAUUGGGAAGAACACCGGUGGCGAAGGCGGCUACCUGGACCGGUACUGACGCUGAGGUGCGAAAGCGUGGGUAGCAAACAGG